ACCAGGAGUCAGUUCAGUACAGUACCUGGAGUCAGUUCAGUACAGUACCUGGAGGUGUUUCAGUACAGUACCUGGAGUCAGUUCAGUACAGUACCAGGAGGUGUUUCAGUACAGUACCUGGAGUCAGUUCAGUACAGUACCUGGAGUCAGUUCAGUACAGUACCUGGAGUCAGUUCAGUACAGUACCUGGAGGUGUUUCAGGACGGUCCCGGGAAUAGGAAUUUAAAGGCGAUCGUGCACACACCUCUACUCAGUGCCAGUGGCCUGUUAAAACAUAGGGGGGUAAAAAGCUUUUUUUCCAUCACCUUGUGCAGAUGACCAUUGAAUCGGUUUGAUCUUGUCUGAAAUAUUUUCACACCUACAAAAUAAAUGUAGUUGCUUUAUUGACUGUCUGCCUUGCUGUAUUUUUUUCACAGCCCCGACUAGUCUUCAUAGUUCAUUUGGACAGUGAAGAUAACGGCGUUCCUAUUUUAUUUUGAUAUCGACUUCUAGAGCUGCGGGACUCGAGUCCGGUCUCGAGAUGUUUUCUGUGUUGUUGUAAAUAUUGUUUGCGUUGUCUUAUCUUUUCGAGUGCACACAAUUUGACGAGGAGUAAUUCCUUUUUAUCUCGCCGUGGUCGCUGGGACGACGGUCGCUGCGACGGCCUCGGGACUGCGAUUACCACGUGCGGUUCUACACUCGGGUCUCCUUUAGUGAACAGUGGACUAGUUCAACACACAGACUUCAUAUUAAACCAUAAUGAACUUUCCUUUACUCUCACACUAUCCGUCGUUCCCCAGAUGAG
ensembl:lncRNA